AUCACUGGUUCCUCUGAAUUUAACCGAGGAAAUCUUUCGCCUUUUACUAAAGAUUUCCUUGCAAGGCUGCAUUUUAUGAGUAUCUAGUAAUUUCUGAAAUCCCCUCGAAGGAGCGGGAU
rnacentral:snRNA from 1 species